AGACUCACGUAUUUCUUCAAAUUGCAUACAUUUUUUGCCUUUUACUGAAGAUUUCUGUGGAGAGGAACAUUUCUGAGUUUGUAGUAAUUUUUGAUAGUCCUGAUUUUUGGUGGGGCU
ensembl:snRNA U5 U5 spliceosomal RNA